GUUGUGUAAGCGCAGCGAUGCGUUGAGCUAACCGGUACUAAUGAACCGUGAGGCUUAACCUUACAACGCCGAAG
rnacentral:rRNA from 1 species